rnacentral:rRNA from 1 species
GGUUAAGCGAACAAGCGUACACGGUGGAUGCCCUGGCAGUCAGAGGCGAUGAAGGACGUGCUAAUCUGCGAAAAGCGCCGGUAAGGUGAUAUGAACCGUUAUAACCGGCGAUGUCCGAAUGGGGAAACCCGGUGCACUUCGGUGCAUCAUCGUUAGCUGAAUACAUAGGCUAACGAGGCGAACCGGGGGAACUGAAACAUCUAAGUACCCCGAGGAAAAGAAAUCAACCGAGAUUCCCCCAGUAGCGGCGAGCGAACGGGGAACAGCCCAGAGCCUGAAUCAGCUUGUGUGUCAGUGGAACGGUCUGGAAAGGCCGGCGAUACAGGGUGACAGCCCCGUACACGAAGGCACACAGGCUGUGAGCUCGAUGAGUAGGGCGGGACACGUGAUAUCCUGUCUGAAGAUGGGGGGACCAUCCUCCAAGGCUAAAUACUCCUGACUGACCGAUAGUGAACCAGUACCGUGAGGGAAAGGCGAAAAGAACCCCGGCGAGGGGAGUGAAACAGAACCUGAAACCGUGUACGUACAAGCAGUGGGAGCCUUCGUAAGAGGGUGACUGCGUACCUUUUGUAUAAUGGGUCAGCGACUUAUAUUCUGUAGCAAGGUUAACCGUAUAGGGGAGCCGAAGGGAAACCGAGUCUUAAUUGGGCGUUAAGUUGCAGGGUAUAGACCCGAAACCCGGUGAUCUAGCCAUGGGCAGGUUGAAGGUUGGGUAACACUAACUGGAGGACCGAACCGACUAAUGUUGAAAAAUUAGCGGAUGACCUGUGGCUGGGGGUGAAAGGCCAAUCAAACCGGGAGAUAGCUGGUUCUCCCCGAAAGCUAUUUAGGUAGCGCCUCGUGAACUCAUCUCCGGGGGUAGAGCACUGUUUCGGCUAGGGGGCCAUCCCGGCUUACCAACCCGAUGCAAACUGCGAAUACCGGAGAAUGUUAUCACGGGAGACACACGGCGGGUGCUAACGUCCGUCGUGAAGAGGGAAACAACCCAGACCGCCAGCUAAGGUCCCAAAGUCAUGGUUAAGUGGGAAACGAUGUGGGAAGGCCCAGACAGCCAGGAUGUUGGCUUAGAAGCAGCCAUCAUUUAAAGAAAGCGUAAUAGCUCACUGGUCGAGUCGGCCUGCGCGGAAGAUGUAACGGGGCUAAACCAUGCACCGAAGCUGCGGCAGCGACGCUUAUGCGUUGUUGGGUAGGGGAGCGUUCUGUAAGCCUGUGAAGGUGUGCUGUGAGGCAUGCUGGAGGUAUCAGAAGUGCGAAUGCUGACAUAAGUAACGAUAAAGCGGGUGAAAAGCCCGCUCGCGCCGGAAGACCAAGGGUUCCUGUCCAACGUUAAUCGGGGCAGGGUGAGUCGACCCCUAAGGCGAGGCCGAAAGGCGUAGUCGAUGGGAAACAGGUUAAUAUUCCUGUACUUGGUGUUACUGCGAAGGGGGGACGGAGAAGGCUAUGUCGGCCGGGCGACGGUUGUCCCGGUUUAAGCGUGUAGGCUGACUUUCCAGGCAAAUCCGGAAGGUUAAGGCUGAGGCGUGAUGACGAGGCACCACGGUGCUGAAGUGACAAAUGCCCUGCUUCCAGGAAAAGCCUCUAAGCAUCAGGUAACAUCAAAUCGUACCCCAAACCGACACAGGUGGUCAGGUAGAGAAUACCAAGGCGCUUGAGAGAACUCGGGUGAAGGAACUAGGCAAAAUGGUGCCGUAACUUCGGGAGAAGGCACGCUGACAUGUAGGUGAAGCCCCUGCGGGUGGAGCUGAAGUCAGUCGAAGAUACCAGCUGGCUGCAACUGUUUAUUAAAAACACAGCACUGUGCAAACACGAAAGUGGACGUAUACGGUGUGACGCCUGCCCGGUGCCGGAAGGUUAAUUGAUGGGGUUAUCGCAAGAGAAGCUCCUGAUCGAAGCCCCGGUAAACGGCGGCCGUAACUAUAACGGUCCUAAGGUAGCGAAAUUCCUUGUCGGGUAAGUUCCGACCUGCACGAAUGGCGUAAUGAUGGCCAGGCUGUCUCCACCCGAGACUCAGUGAAAUUGAACUCGCUGUGAAGAUGCAGUGUACCCGCGGCAAGACGGAAAGACCCCGUGAACCUUUACUACAGCUUGACACUGAACAUUGAGCCUUGAUGUGUAGGAUAGGUGGGAGGCUUUGAAGCGUGGACGCCAGUCUGCGUGGAGCCAACCUUGAAAUACCACCCUUUAAUGUUUGAUGUUCUAACCUGGCGCCCUGAUCGGGCGUGGGGACAGUGUCUGGUGGGUAGUUUGACUGGGGCGGUCUCCUCCCAAAGUGUAACGGAGGAGCACGAAGGUCAGCUAAUCCUGGUCGGACAUCAGGAGGUUAGUGCAAUGGCAUAAGCUGGCUUGACUGCGAGAGUGACGGCUCGAGCAGGUGCGAAAGCAGGUCAUAGUGAUCCGGUGGUUCUGUAUGGAAGGGCCAUCGCUCAACGGAUAAAAGGUACUCCGGGGAUAACAGGCUGAUACCGCCCAAGAGUUCAUAUCGACGGCGGUGUUUGGCACCUCGAUGUCGGCUCAUCACAUCCUGGGGCUGAAGUAGGUCCCAAGGGUAUGGCUGUUCGCCAUUUAAAGUGGUACGCGAGCUGGGUUUAGAACGUCGUGAGACAGUUCGGUCCCUAUCUGCCGUGGGCGCUGGAGAAUUGAGGGGGGCUGCUCCCAGUACGAGAGGACCGGAGUGGACGCAUCACUGGUGUUCGGGUUGUCAUGCCAAUGGCACUGCCCGGUAGCUAAAUGCGGAAGAGAUAAGUGCUGAAAGCAUCUAAGCACGAAACUUGCCCCGAGAUGAGUUCUCCCUGAGACUAUAAGUCUCCUGAAGGAACGUUGAAGACGACGACGUUGAUAGGCCGGGUGUGUAAGCGCAGCGAUGCGUUGAGCUAACCGGUACUAAUGAACCGUGAGGCUUAACCUU